UACGGAGGGGGCUAGCGUUGUCCGGAAUCAUUGGGCGUAAAGCGCGUGUAGGCGGCUGAGUAAGUCCGCUCUGAAAGCCCGGGGCUCAACCCCGGGAGGCGGGUGGAUACUGCUCAGCUCGAGUCCGGAAGAGGCGAGUGGAAUUCCCGGUGUAGCGGUGAAAUGCGCAGAUAUCGGGAGGAACACCUAUGGCGAAGGCAGCUCGCUGGGACGUUACUGACGCUGAGACGCGAAAGCGUGGGGAGCAAACAGG
rnacentral:rRNA from 1 species